rnacentral:rRNA from 1 species
GACGAACGCUGGCGGCGUGCUUAAUACAUGCCAGUCGAACGCUGAGGCCCUGCUUUUGUGUGGUGCACGAGUGGCGAACGGGUGAGUAACGCGUAGGUAACCUGCCCUGUAGUGGGGGAUAACUACUGGAAACGGUAGCUAAUACCGCAUAGGAGCUCCUGCUGCAUGGCGUUGGCUGGAAAGUUUCAAUGGCUGGGCUAGGAGACGCGGCUUCUUAGUUUUUGGGAGGUGUAGUGGUAAAGCCAGGCUAUGGCGGGUAGCCAGCCUGAGAGGGUGACCGGCCACAGUGGGACUGAGAUACCGGCCAGACUGCUACGGGAGGCAUCGGUGGGGGAUAGUGCGAACUGGGCGGAAGGAGUGUGCAGCAACGCCGGGUGGGGGAUGACGGCCGUCAGGGUGUAACGCGCGUGAGCCUGUGACGAAGCGUGAGUGACGGUAAUGGGUAAAGAAGCACCGGCUAACUACGUG